rnacentral:lncRNA from 1 species
UUCAGGUCAGACUCUGAAAUUUUUAUAUAUCUACAGUAAGCAUCUGAAGACCAUCUUCCCAUAACUUUUAUCAAGUGGUCUUCAACCUGAACUGAACCGGCAGUUGUCGCUGCCCCUAUACGAAAAGAAUGGCCACUGUAAUAGGUAGAGUCAAUACCUAAACUAUCUAAAGCAUGUUUGAAUAAAGAGAGAAAUUUAGCUCUGGUGACAGCAGCCCCAGUUAAAUCGACAAACAAUGGAGUUUCAGGAGACGGAUUCCUUUGAAAGCGAUUAUUCAUAUACAAACAGCAUAUCCUAUGUGGGCAAAUCUCAGUACCUGUUUCAAAAAGUUUAAUAGUCACACCUUGUCUAAAAGGAUCUGUUUUAGAAAUUUUAAGCUUAAGAUGUAUACUGUCGCUUAGAAUAGUAAUAUCUGAAAUACAUAAAUUAAAAGCUGGAUCAAAAUUUCCACAACUAUCAACUGUGAAUUCACCACAUCUUAAAAAACCAAAAAAUGCAACUGUACACAUAGUUUCUAAUAAUAAAUUCUCAUAACUACUGUUCUGGCGCAGCCAGAGACAGACUUUCUGUAAAAUAUCAAAAGUUAUAGGGUACCUUGGUUUAGGAUUGGUUUUAUAAGUACGCUUUACUCCAUUCAGUAUAGCUUUGAGUCGUCUUAACUUAGUUAAAUCAGGAUAAUUAAUGUUAAGUUCUAAACAUUUGAACCUAAUACCACACAAAUACAAUUUAAUAGUACUAUAACUUAUAUGUAGUCUACUUGUACAAUAAGCAACAAAAAGUAAUAAUAACUGUUCAUUGACUG